CGCCAGCAGCCGCGGUAAUACGUAGGGCGCAAGCGUUAUCCGGAAUUAUUGGGCGUAAAGAGCUCGUAGGCGGUUUGUCGCGUCUGCCGUGAAAGUCCGGGGCUCAACUCCGGAUCUGCGGUGGGUACGGGCAGACUAGAGUGAUGUAGGGGAGACUGGAAUUCCUGGUGUAGCGGUGAAAUGCGCAGAUAUCAGGAGGAACACCGAUGGCGAAGGCAGGUCUCUGGGCAUUAACUGACGCUGAGGAGCGAAAGCAUGGGGAGCGAACAGGAUUAGAUACCCUGGUAGUCCAUGCCGUAAACGUUGGGCACUAGGUGUGGGGGACAUUCCACGUUUUCCGCGCCGUAGCUAACGCAUUAAGUGCCCCGCCUGGGGAGUACGGCCGCAAGGCUAAAACUCAAAGGAAUUGACGGGGGCCCGCACA
rnacentral:rRNA from 1 species